GUGCCAACAGGUAACACUGUUGGUAAUUCUAUCCAUAACACCUGUGAACUGUUGGAUGCUUGCAUCCACUUUUAUACUAAACAUUAUUGUAACAAAUGUAGUCUUAUUAUAACUAAUAAAACUUUUAACAACGGAUCUCUUGGCUCUCGCAUCGAUGAAGAACGCAGCGAAAUGCGAUAAGUAAUGUGAAUUGCAGAAUUCAGUGAAUCAUCGAAUCUUUGAACGCACCUUGCGCUCCUUGGUAUUCCGAGGAGCAUGCCUGUUUGAGUGUCAUGAAACUCUCAAACCCAAGUUUUGGAUUUCGAUCCAUGCUUGAGUUUGGAUUUGGAUGUUUGCCGGUGAUAAGCCGACUCAUCUUAAAAGUAUUAGCUAGAUCUGUCUCUAUGACUGGUUUGACUUGGCAUAAUAAGUAUUUUGCUGAGGACAUCUUCGGAUGGCCAGGACCUAGACUAUUGUCUGCUAACUAAACCAUCACUUUAAGUGCAUCUUCGGAUGUUACUCAUUGUGUAACUUUGACAUCUGGCCUCAAAUCAGGUAGGACUACCCGCUGAACUUAAGCAUAUCAAUAAGCGGAGGAAAAGAAACUAACAAGGAUUCCCCUAGUAACGGCGAGUGAAGCGGGAAGAGCUCAAAUUUGAAAUCUGGUGGCCUCAGGUCAUCCGAGUUGUAAUCUAUAGAAGUGUUUUCCGUGCUGGCUCAUGUACAAGUCCCUUGGA
rnacentral:rRNA from 1 species